rnacentral:rRNA from 1 species
UACGGAGGGAGCUAGCGUUGUUCGGAAUUACUGGGCGUAAAGCGCGCGUAGGCGGCUUAGCAAGUUGGGGGUGAAAGCCCGGGGCUCAACCUCGGAACUGCCUCCAAAACUGCUAAGCUAGAAUCCUGGAGAGGUGAGCGGAAUUCCUAGUGUAGAGGUGAAAUUCGUAGAUAUUAGGAAGAACACCAGUGGCGAAGGCGGCUCACUGGACAGGUAUUGACGCUGAGGUGCGAAAGCGUGGGGAGCGAACAGG